GCAUAUGCCAGUGAUGGCCAAACUCGGCCCUCCAGAUGUUUGGGGACUACAAGUCCCAUCAUCCCUGACCACUGGUCCUUGUCAGCUAGGAAUCAUGGGAGUUGUAGUCCCAAAACAGCUGGAGGGCCAAGUUUGGCCAUCACUGGCAUAUGC